rnacentral:rRNA from 1 species
AACGAACGCUGGCGGCAGGCUUAACACAUGCAAGUCGAACGCACCGCAAGGUGAGUGGCAGACGGGUGAGUAACGCGUGGGAAUCUACCCAGAACUUCGGAACAACUGAGGGAAACUUCAGCUAAUACCGGAUACGCCUACGGGGAAAGGAUUUAUCGGUUCUGGAUGAGCCCGCGUUGGAUUAGCUAGUUGGUGAGGUAACGGCUCACCAAGGCGACGAUCCAUAGCUGGUCUGAGAGGAUGAUCAGCCACACUGGGACUGAGACACGGCCCAGACUCCUACGGGAGGCAGCAGUGGGGAAGUAUUGGACAAUGGGCGCAAGCCUGAUCCAGCCAUGCCGCGUGAGUGAUGAAGGCCUUAGGGUUGUAAAGCUCUUUCGACGGGGACGAUAAU